CUACGGGGUGCAGCAGUGGGGAAUUUUGGACAAUGGGGGCAACCCUGAUCCAGCCAUGCCGCGUGAGUGAAGAAGGCCUUCGGGUUGUAAAGCUCUUUCAGCCGGGAAGAAAUCGCAUGGGUCAAUACCCUGUGCGGAUGACGGUACCGGAAUAAGAAGCACCGGCUAACUACGUGCCAGCAGCCGCGGUAAUACGUAGGGUGCGAGCGUUAAUCGGAAUUACUGGGCGUAAAGCGUGCGCAGGCGGAUGCUUAAGUCAGAUGUGAAAUCCCCGGGCUUAACCUGGGAAUUGCAUUUGAAACUGGGUGUCUAGAGUGCGUCAGAGGGGGGUGGAAUUCCACGUGUAGCAGUGAAAUGCGUAGAUAUGUGGAGGAACACCAAUGGCGAAGGCAGCCCCCUGGGAUGACACUGACGCUCAUGCACGAAAGCGUGGGGAGCAAACAGGAUUAGAUACCCCCGUAGUC
rnacentral:rRNA from 1 species